rnacentral:rRNA from 1 species
CCUACGGGUGGCUGCAGUGAGGAAUAUUGGUCAAUGGACGAGAGUCUGAACCAGCCAAGUAGCGUGAAGGAUGACUGCCCUAUGGGUUGUAAACUUCUUUUAUAUGGGAAUAAAAUGUUCCACGUGUGGGAUUUUGUAUGUACCAUAUGAAUAAGGAUCGGCUAACUCCGUGCCAGCAGCCGCGGUAAUACGGAGGAUCCGAGCGUUAUCCGGAUUUAUUGGGUUUAAAGGGAGCGUAGGUGGAUUGUUAAGUCAGUUGUGAAAGUUUGCGGCUCAACCGUAAAAUUGCAGUUGAAACUGGCAGUCUUGAGUGCAGUAGAGGUGGGCAGAAUUCGUGGUGUAGCGGUGAAAUGCUUAGAUAUCACGAAGAACUCCGAUUGCGAAGGCAGUUCACUGGACUGCAACUGACACUGAGGCUCGAAAGUGUGGGUAUCAAACAGGAUUAGAUACCCGAGUAGUC